rnacentral:sRNA from 1 species
UCUCCCUUUCAAGUACUAACCAUGCCCGACCUGCUUAGCUUCCAAGAUCAGAGGAGAUUCGGUGUGUUCAGGGUGGUAUGGCC